GGGGUUAUAAUUUAAUAGGUAAAAUAGGGACUUUGCAAGUCUUUAAUUCAGGUUCAAUUCCUGAUAGCUCCA
rfam:Paracoccidioides brasiliensis strain Pb18 mitochondrion, complete genome.